GAUGAACGCUGGCGGCGUGCCUAAUACAUGCAAGUCGAGCGAACAGAUAAGGAGCUUGCUCCUUUGACGUUAGCGGCGGACGGGUGAGUAACACGUGGGUAACCUACCUAUAAGACUGGGAUAACUUCGGGAAACCGGAGCUAAUACCGGAUAAUAUUUCGAACCGCAUGGUUCGAUAGUGAAAGAUGGUUUUGCUAUCACUUAUAGAUGGACCCGCGCCGUAUUAGCUAGUUGGUAAGGUAACGGCUUACCAAGGCGACGAUACGUAGCCGACCUGAGAGGGUGAUCGGCCACACUGGAACUGAGACACGGUCCAGACUCCUACGGGAGGCAGCAGUAGGGAAUCUUCCGCAAUGGGCGAAAGCCUGACGGAGCAACGCCGCGUGAGUGAUGAAGGUCUUCGGAUCGUAAAACUCUGUUAUUAGGGAAGAACAUACGUGUAAGUAACUGUGCACGACUUGACGGUACCUAAUCAGAAAGCCACGGCUAACUACGUG
rnacentral:rRNA from 1 species